rnacentral:rRNA from 1 species
ACGAACGCUGGCGGCGUGCCUAAUACAUGCAAGUAGAACGCACAGUUUAUACCGUAGCUUGCUACACCAUAGACUGUGAGUUGCGAACGGGUGAGUAACGCGUAGGUAACCUGCCUGGUAGCGGGGGAUAACUAUUGGAAACGAUAGCUAAUACCGCAUAAUAUUAAUUAUUGCGUGAUAAUUAAUUGAAAGGUGCAAUUGCACCACUACCAGAUGGACCUGCGUUGUAUUAGCUAGUAGGUGAGGUAACGGCUCACCUAGGCGACGAUACAUAGCCGACCUGAGAGGGUGAUCGGCCACACUGGGACUGAGACACGGCCCAGACUCCUACGGGAGGCAGCAGUAGGGAAUCUUCGGCAAUGGACGAAAGUCUGACCGAGCAACGCCGCGUGAGUGAAGAAGGUUUUCGGAUCGUAAAGCUCUGUUGUAAGAGAAGAACGGGUGUGAGAGUGGAAAGUUCACACUGUGACGGUAGCUUACCAGAAAGGGACGGCUAACUACGUG